rnacentral:rRNA from 1 species
UACGUAGGUGGCAAGCGUUGUCCGGAAUUAUUGGGCGUAAAGGGCGCGUAGGCGGCACUCUAAGUCAGAUGUGAAAACCCGGGGCUCAACCCCGGAGGUGCAUUUGAAACUGGAGAGCUUGAGUGCGGGAGAGGUAAGUGGAAUUCCUAGUGUAGCGGUGAAAUGCGUAGAUAUUAGGAGGAACACCAGUGGCGAAGGCGACUUACUGGACCGUAACUGACGCUGAGGCGCGAAAGCGUGGGGAGCAAACAGG